GACAAUCAAUACCAAACAGUUGCCUGUUUAGAGGCAGAUAUGGAGACAAGAUUAAUCGACUUUGCCACAAGGGUCCCAGGAAAGGGGGUGGUGCCAAACACACACACACACACAGAGAGAGAGAGAGAGAGAGAGAGAGAGAAGUUAGGAAUACAAGUUAGAGAAUGGGGUUAGUUCUGAUUGGCCUUGGAGAACAUCCAAACACGAGAGAGUGGGAGGAACUAGGUUCCUUUAAAAAGUCUGACCCGACAUUCAUACAAUGAGAUCGAGCUAAUCCAUGGAUCAUCUUCUAUUGUGGCGAGGAGACGGAGAGGCCGGACGGACGAUUGACUUGACUGACGGAUGUGCAGGUACGGACUGGUGUGGAGACAGAAGACCAAGGCUGUUUGAAAAUACUUCCAGUGAUCAUAGGAGAUCAGGUAUCAACUGGUAUAAUUUCUCACACUGUGCACUGGCUAAAACUAAGAAACAUGAGUCUGACUAACCUACUCAUAGUAAAACAGUCAGGAAUAAACAACCCCCUGAUAGAUUGGCUAAAUGAUAAGUUCUGGAAGUGGGGAACAUGGUUGAGACGAGUGUUUUUAGGAGUAGCAGUGGGAGGUGCCAUGCUGAUAGCUACUCGCACAAUAGAGAGAGCAGUCAAUGGAAAAGAUGAGAACCCAGGUGCACCACCUGAGUGGCAGGCAAAACAAAUAGAAAACCUCCCGGUCAAGACACUAAAGGGAUUAGGAAGUCUACUAAAGGAAAUAGGAGAUAGAGUAGACAAGGAGGGGUUCUUUAUACCCAUAGAGAGUGAGAACAACACUGACUGGAGUAAGGCUGUAUGGACAAAGCCUGAGGGCCCAUAUACUCCUAAUUGCCCAAUAGGCAAUCCCUACUGUAAGUAUGGUUAUGGGGGUGGAGCGGGCUGGAUGUGUUGGAAGUGGGCAGAAAUAUACAACAAAGAAAUAGCUAGAUUGUAUGACGCAGCAUUGUUGUUGAAUGAGGAUUGGGCUAUUGCUGGCCGACCUGAUGGUUAUGUAAGUGAUGAGGAUGUUGAGGAGGAUAUAGUACCUCCCGAGGACCUGGAAAGGGGGACAACACCGGAACCUGAUGUGCUGGCCCAGAUGUUGAACCUACACACAUUGACAUUGAAUGAAAUAUUUAACCUGGGGGAGGAGGAUCUGUUUGCUGACGAUUUGUUUCAGGAUGGGUCGAGGAGGAGAAAUGGGAAACAGAAUGAGGCACUUCAGGAUGCAUGGUCUGAUUGGCCCGACAUCACAGAGCACAUGUACUGGCGUGAACCACAGAUGAAAGAAUUUGAGGAAUGGGAGCGUAGAGAGCAGCGUAAGAAACGUAGUAAGAAGCGUAAGAAGCGUAGACAGCAGUAUUAGGUGGCAGGGAAUGAAAGUGCGUAUGAAUGGAGGCUCUUGCUUAAUUGCGCUGGCUAUUUGGCUUAUGUGCUAGGAUUUCAGUAUAGGAGUGCAUACUGUGGAAUGUGCUUAUGUUCUCUCUUUGCCUCUUAUCUUUCUUUCCCUCAUUUUCCAACAUAAUCGCAUUGUUUAAAUCAAAUGUGCCUAUGUUCUCUCUUUGUCUCUUAUCUUUCUUUCUCUCAUUUUUCCAACAUAUAAUCGCAUUUUUUUAAUCAUACGUAAAGGAAUGCAUAGUUAAAUGUGUUACAUAGUUAAUUAAUUUUUAGUAGGGCCUGUAUUAUGAGAGGUCUUAUUUACUAUAUAGUCAAAGGUUAAAGGAAGUGCAUAAUUUAAACUUUCAAUUGAUGUAGCAUGUUUAUUAGGUCAAAUAUAUACUGUAGUAUUGCAUGGUACCGUGUGUACAAUAUACCCAAUUGCAUUUUUUUUUUUUUAUAAGAAUAGGUGUUUAGACACUAAAAGGUUGCGCUCUGAGGGCAGACCUCAAGCAAAAAGCGCGAGCGGUUCUACCAAAGCUUUGGUGAAUUGAUACCUGAAAGGGGGCAGGUAUCCCCGCGACAGAGUAAGCGCCUGGAGGUGUGUUAUGCUUAUGCUGUGCUAGAAUGCGAAAGGAGGGUGUUUUGAUAUUAUUGUGUAAAGUAAUUAAGAAAACACCCCACAAUGUAACCCUGCUUUUUAGUGCUUGCCUGAAUGUGGUGUUGACCUCAUAAAUGAGGUCAAAGGAGGGAUUGUAAGAGAAAAUCAAGUUUAUUGAUGUCACCAAUGGUUAGUCAUCAACAAGCAGUUCAGUUGAAGUUCAUGUCAAGCAAUUUAGCUCAAACAACAAACAAAUUAAUAACUAAUUUCACGGUGCUAAGAAAAGAGGCCUAUUACCCUGAGGUGUCGCUGCUGGUGUGAAUUUGACGGGGCCAGCACGGGCCAGCAGUGACAGUGGCCGUAACUUACAACUUUUUAGGUCAGAAAGAACACCAUGGGACAAGGACAAGAUAAGAUUAACAGCCGAACUGUGAGAAUUGAGGUUCUCAAACUGAGGCCCCAUUGUUAAAGAGUUAGUUAGUUACAGCUCCCCAGGGGAUCCAUGAUUAAGCAACAUUGUCGCAACUGUGGGGUUAAAAGAUUGAAUUGCGUAUGUGAAUGUCAGAAUGCAUUCUCCAGUCGUGGGUGACAGAGCUCUUUGUGAACUCACCUAAGACUGUAUUUGUACAUCUCUUGAAACUCAGUAAACUCAACUGUAUUCAAACCUAUUGCUUCAUGGCGGUCUUUCACUUGAUUCUCUGUAAACCAACACGUAGAAAUAGUAUAAUUUAACAGCAUGCAAGUGACUUAACCCUAACUUAACCUGGGGAUGAUUAUAAACUUAUUGCUAAAAACAACCUGGUAAUAUUGGUGCUAUAUUCAGAUUUGCCUAUAGUUUACAUUGGUGCAGAUAAUGUUA
ensembl:lncRNA